rnacentral:rRNA from 1 species
GACGAACGCUGGCGGCGUGCUUAACACAUGCAAGUCGAACGGAAAGGCCCUGCUUUUGUGGGGUGCUCGUGUGGCGAACGGGUGAGUAACACGUGAGUAACCUGCCCUUGACUUUGGGAUAACUUCAGGAAACUGGGGCUAAUACCGGAUAGGAGCUCCUGCUGCAUGGCGGGGGUUGGAAAGUUUCGGCGGUUGGGGAUGGACUCGCGGCUUAUCAGCUUGUUGGUGGGGUAGUGGCUUACCAAGGCUUUGACGGGUAGCCGGCCUGAGAGGGUGACCGGCCACAUUGGGACUGAGAUACGGCCCAGACUCCUACGGGAGGCAGCAGUGGGGAAUAUUGCACAAUGGGCGGAAGCCUGAUGCAGCAACGCCGCGUGCGGGAUGACGGCCUUCGGGUUGUAAACCGCUUUCGCCUGUGACGAAGCGUGAGUGACGGUAAUGGGUAAAGAAGCACCGGCUAACUACGUG